CAGUCGCCGCGGUAAUACGGAGGGUGCAAGCGUUAAUCGGAAUUACUGGGCGUAAAGCGCACGCAGGCGGUCUGUCAAGUCAGAUGUGAAAUCCCCGGGCUUAACCUGAGAACUGCAUUUGAAACUGGCAGGCUAGAGUCUUGUAGAGGGGGGUAGAAUUCCAGGUGUAGCGGUGAAAUGCGUAGAGAUCUGGAGGAAUACCGGUGGCGAAGGCGGCCCCCUGGACAAAGACUGACGCUCAGGUGCGAAAGCGUGGGGAGCAAACAGGAUUAGAUACCCCUGUAGUCCCUGUCUCUUAUAC
rnacentral:rRNA from 1 species